UUGACACUGAACAUUGAGCCUUGAUGUGUAGGAUAGGUGGGAGGCUUUGAAGUGUGGACGCCAGUCUGCGUGGAGCCGACCUUGAAAUACCACCCUUUAAUGUUUGAUGUUCUAACGUGGACCCGUAAUCCGGGUUGCGGACAGUGUCUGGUGGGUAGUUUGACUGGGGCGGUCUCCUCCUAAAGAGUAACGGAGGAGCACGAAGGUUGGCUAAUCCUGGUCGGACAUCAGGAGGUUAGUGCAAUGGCAUAAGCCAGCUUGACUGCGAGCGUGACGGCGCGAGCAGGUGCGAAAGCAGGUCAUAGUGAUCCGGUGGUUCUGAAUGGAAGGGCCAUCGCUCAACGGAUAAAAGGUACUCCGGGGAUAACAGGCUGAUACCGCCCAAGAGUUCAUAUCGACGGCGGUGUUUGGCACCUCGAUGUCGGCUCAUCACAUCCUGGGGCUGAAGUAGGUCCCAAGGGUAUGGCUGUUCGCCAUUUAAAGUGGUACGCGAGCUGGGUUUAGAACGUCGUGAGACAGUUCGGUCCCUAUCUGCCGUGGGCGCUGGAGAACUGAGGGGGGCUGCUCCUAGUACGAGAGGACCGGAGUGGACGCAUCACUGGUGUUCGGGUUGUCAUGCCAAUGGCACUGCCCGGUAGCUAAAUGCGGAAGAGAUAAGUGCUGAAAGCAUCUAAGCACGAAACUUGCCCCGA
rnacentral:rRNA from 1 species